rnacentral:rRNA from 1 species
UACGUAGGGUGCAAGCGUUGUCCGGAAUUAUUGGGCGUAAAGAGCUCGUAGGCGGUUUGUCACGUCUGCUGUGAAAACCCGAGGCUCAACCUCGGGCCUGCAGUGGGUACGGGCAGACUAGAGUGCGGUAGGGGAGAUUGGAAUUCCUGGUGUAGCGGUGGAAUGCGCAGAUAUCAGGAGGAACACCAAUGGCGAAGGCAGAUCUCUGGGCCGUAACUGACGCUGAGGAGCGAAAGCAUGGGGAGCGAACAGG